rnacentral:rRNA from 1 species
CCUACGGGAGGCAGCAGUAAGGAAUAUUGGUCAAUGGACGAAAGUCUGAACCAGCCAUGCCGCGUGAAGGAUGAAGGUCCUCUGGAUUGUAAACUUCUUUUAUCUGGGACGAAAAAAGGGCUUUCUAGCUCACUUGACGGUACCAGAGGAAUAAGCACCGGCUAACUCCGUGCCAGCAGCCGCGGUAAUACGGAGGGUGCAAGCGUUAUCCGGAUUUACUGGGUUUAAAGGGAGCGUAGGUGGGCAGGUAAGUCAGUGGUGAAAUCUCUGGGCUUAACCCGGAAACUGCCAUUGAUACUAUCUGUCUUGAAUAUCCUGGAGGUAAGCGGAAUAUGUCAUGUAGCGGUGAAAUGCUUAGAUAUGACAUAGAACACCCAUUGCGAAGGCAGCUUACUACGGGAUUAUUGACACUGAGGCUCGAAAGCGUGGGGAUCAAACAGGAUUAGAUACCCUGGUAGUCCACGCCCUAAACGAUGGAUACUCGACAUCAGCGAUACACUGUUGGUGUCUGAGCGAAAGCAUUAAGUAUCCCACCUGGGAAGUACGACCGCAAGUUGAAACUCAAAGGAAUUGACGG